GAUGAACGCUGGCGGCGUGCCUAAUACAUGCAAGUCGAGCGAACGGACGAGAAGCUUGCUUCUCUGAUGUUAGCGGCGGACGGGUGAGUAACACGUGGAUAACCUACCUAUAAGACUGGGAUAACUUCGGGAAACCGUAGCUAAUACCGGAUAAUAUUUUGAACCGCAUGGUUCAAAAGUGAAAGACGGUCUUGCUGUCACUUAUAGAUGGAUCCGCGCUGCAUUAGCUAGUUGGUAAGGUAACGGCUUACCAAGGCAACGAUGCAUAGCCGACCUGAGAGGGUGAUCGGCCACACUGGAACUGAGACACGGUCCAGACUCCUACGGGAGGCAGCAGUAGGGAAUCUUCCGCAAUGGGCGAAAGCCUGACGGAGCAACGCCGCGUGAGUGAUGAAGGUCUUCGGAUCGUAAAACUCUGUUAUUAGGGAAGAACAUAUGUGUAAGUAACUGUGCACAUCUUGACGGUACCUAAUCAGAAAGCCACGGCUAACUACGUGCCAGCAGCUGCGGUAAUACGUAGGUGGCAAGCGUUAUCCGGAAUUAUUGGGCGUAAAGCGCGCGUAGGCGGUUUUUUAAGUCUGAUGUGAAAGCCCACGGCUCAACCGUGGAGGGUCAUUGGAAACUGGAAAACUUGAGUGCAGAAGAGGAAAGUGGAAUUCCAUGUGUAGCGGUGAAAUGCGCAGAGAUAUGGAGGAACACCAGUGGCGAAGGCGACUUUCUGGUCUGUAACUGACGCUGAUGUGCGAAAGCGUGGGGAUCAAACAGGAUUAGAUACCCUGGUAGUCCACGCCGUAAACGAUGAGUGCUAAGUGUUAGGGGGUUUCCGCCCCUUAGUGCUGCAGCUAACGCAUUAAGCACUCCGCCUGGGGAGUACGACCGCAAGGUUGAAACUCAAAGGAAUUGACGGGGACCCGCACAAGCGGUGGAGCAUGUGGUUUAAUUCGAAGCAACGCGAAGAACCUUACCAAAUCUUGACAUCCUUUGACAACUCUAGAGAUAGAGCCUUCCCCUUCGGGGGACAAAGUGACAGGUGGUGCAUGGUUGUCGUCAGCUCGUGUCGUGAGAUGUUGGGUUAAGUCCCGCAACGAGCGCAACCCUUAAGCUUAGUUGCCAUCAUUAAGUUGGGCACUCUAAGUUGACUGCCGGUGACAAACCGGAGGAAGGUGGGGAUGACGUCAAAUCAUCAUGCCCCUUAUGAUUUGGGCUACACACGUGCUACAAUGGACAAUACAAAGGGCAGCGAAACCGCGAGGUCAAGCAAAUCCCAUAAAGUUGUUCUCAGUUCGGAUUGUAGUCUGCAACUCGACUACAUGAAGCUGGAAUCGCUAGUAAUCGUAGAUCAGCAUGCUACGGUGAAUACGUUCCCGGGUCU
rnacentral:rRNA from 1 species